rnacentral:rRNA from 1 species
GACGAACGCUGGCGGCGUGCUUAACACAUGCAAGUCGAACGGAAAGGCCCCUUUGGGGGUCCUCGAGUGGCGAACGGGUGAGUAACACGUGAGUAACCUACCCUUGACUUCGGGAUAACUUCAGGAAACUGGGGCUAAUACCGGAUAGGAAUCCUUGCUGCAUGGUGGGGGUUGGUAAGCUUCGGCGGUUUUGGAUGGACUCGCGGCUUAUCAGCUUGUUGGUGGGGUAGUGGCUUACCAAGGCGUUGACGGGUAGCCGGCCUGAGAGGGCGACCGGCCACAUUGGGACUGAGAUACGGCCCAGACUCCGACGGGAGGCAGCAGUGGGGAAUAUUGCACAAUGGGCGGAAGCCUGAUGCAGCAACGCCGCGUGCGGGAUGACGGCCUUCGGGUUGUAAACCGCUUUCAGCAGGGGCGAAGCUUGUGGUGACGGUACCUGCAGAAGAAGCACCGGCUAACUACGUG